CGUGUAUAAUUAUUAGAGUAUCUGUCUGUCUGGUAAUCUGGUAUUGCAUUUUUACUAUGACACCUUUUGACGAACUUUAAAAAGAUCUUGAAAUUGGCUGUAAAGAAGAGUUUACAUCGAUCAUGCGAUAUUUUUUGUCUUCAUUUUUAACGUUGGGUUGGAUAGAUUUUAAUGGUUUAAUUGAUAACACGCUAUUUAGAUUCUUAUUUCAUUCUUGACUGAAUAUUUUCAGAUAAUAUCUUCAGCUGAAGGCUUCAUGUGAUCUAGGUGCUUGUGACAGUGAUAAAAUGGUCCAAUUCAAGCUGUGUACCAAGGAAAUUCUGUUUGCAAGGUAAACUCCAAUAUGUUCCAUCGGGAUAUUCGGUCACAUCGUCAACAAUCACAAGCUAUUCAAACAUCUAUGCAUCACCUAUUUAUGUGCCAGUUCCCGUUUCACUGCCUUCACAAAUCAAUCAACCGGAGCCAGUGGAACGUUUGGAUUCAAAAGAAAGAGUUUCUCAGUUGGAAGAUCUAUAGCGGAUGCUGGAACUACAGAAGAAGAUUCAGGAAUUGGAGAUUAGUUUGCAGGAAGCCAAAACCAAACAGGCUGUUCCUCCAAGUGGAAUUAAGAGCCAGCAGGUCGUCAUCGACAAAUCGAUAUCUGCAGCUAUGUUUCACUGGAGCAAGAAGCCGAACUUUGUGUGUUCCUGAAAAGAAUCCUUCUACCUCAUCUUCUCUUCUAAAAUUCUGAAUGAAAUUGAUCUUCUGCAAGUCCGAUUGAGAAGUGUGAUCGCCUCAACCGGAGCUGUCGUUGUCAACCGUCGUCGCAUUGGAAAGAUAACCGACAACUAUCAGGAGCCAAUUGGGCGUGGAGAAUUCGGUCAAGUCUUCAAAGGAACUUGGCGUGAACGUCAAGUAGCCAAUCCGCUUUGGCGUCGCAGCACAGACGUCGAGGCUCGAUCGUUCGCCAAGAUGAUUCAACGAGAGGUUGAAGCUCUUUCAGCUGUCCAGCACCGCAAUAUUAUUGGACUGCUCGGUCUUUGCAUGGAUAACGAAUCGAGUGAUGGUGAAGCAUCGAUUAGAGUCUCGCUCAUCUUUGAAUUCGCCAACGGAGGGACUCUUUUCGACUGUCUUUUCGGUGGCCAAGCAAGAAACAACAAAUUCAAAUUAUAGACGUGAAUAAAAUGAUGCUGAUCGCUCGCCAUAUCACCGCGAGGCUCAUCAUCUAUUGCAUUCCACUCAGCAGAUGCCGGGCGGUUCAGUUAUGGUCUACCGUAACGUGAAAUCCGCCAAUGUUUUACUGUAACGGGAUGACGAAGGAAGAGUCGUACGAACUAUUUUGGCCGAUUUUGGUUUGGCACGUUUUCAUUCGAAUUUCAACGAAAGUUUCUCCGGCUCUGGCCUAGCAGCCAGUUCAAUGACAGCCUUGGUAGGUACCCACGGCUAUGUCAAUCCUUUGUAUGCGGAGUUCAACCUACAGACGGGCCGGCCAGUUUGCAUGUCCUUCACGCUUGAAGGUCGCGGGGAAUAUUACGUUAAACUGUCAAUGCGGUGGUGUAGAGGUUGGGUGAGAAUGAAACGUGUUCCACAUCAUUAUCAAGCAGACCCAUCCCCAGCAACGUCAACCUAAAGAAGGAAAGGCCAGUUUGCAUUUCCUUCACGCUCGAAGGUCACGGAGAUCAUAACGUAAAACGUGUCAUGCGACGGCGGAGAGGUUGGGUGAGGACGACACGUGUUACAUCAUUAUCAAGUAGUAAACUAUGGCGUUGUGCUGCUGUUGGGUGUUGAAUCGUUGAUGGUUGGGUCGACCGCUGGUGUACAGAUGUCUCCUGGGUAUGGCGGAUAUCAAAGCACAACACUACUGUCUUAUUACUCAACAUCAACCGACGCUGCUCUAGCUUACUACACCAAGGCUCUAAAGUACUACACCACCAAGGCUUCAGAGUAUUACAAGUUGUAUUAAAGGAGAGAAAAGGCGAAAUAAUCAGGCGGGUGAUUAUCUCCGACACGAAAACAACUGUUGUGCAUUUGUCACUAACUGCAUUCUCCAUCGUACAUAGGGUAAACUGUGGCGUCGUGCUGCUGUUGGUUGUUGUCCUCAAAUACUACACCACCGACACUACAAUUUAUGCUGCACGAGCUGCAUCACCAAAGAGCCCGAACCCAUCCCCAGCAACGUCAACCUGCAGAAAGAAAGGCCAGUUUUGUAUGUCCUUCAGAAGGUCACGGAGAUCAUUACGUAAAACUGUCAAUGCGGUGGUGUAGAGGUUGGGUGAGAACGGGAAGUGUUUGCUUCAUUAUCAAGAAGGUAAAAUAGCCGCAAGACUUAAGAAAGGGGUCAGGGUGAGAAAAAGUCGUAUAAAAGAAGAGAGAAAGGGCGUUUGAAAUCAGUUGAGUGAAAAUCUCCGACACGGCAACAACUGCUGUGGACUAUUUGUCACCAACUGCAUUCUUCAUCGUAAUAUCGGUUCGCAAACAAAUUUUAACUAUGGCGUCGUGCUGCUGUUGGUUGCUGUAUCUUUGAUGGUUGAGUCGACUACUGGGGUAACCGAUGUCUCGUGGGUAUGGUGGAUACCAAACCGCAACGCCGGCGUCUUACCACACAUCAUACGCAACAACCGGAGUACUACACCACAACUUAUGAUGUCCCAAACUACUACACCGAAGCCUCAAAGUAUUAUUCUGCCUCGAGUUACACCACCGGAGUACUACACCACCAAGGCAGCGGAGUACUACACCACCAAGGCAGCGGAGUACUACACCACCAAGGCAGCGGAGUACUACACCACCAAGGCAGCGGAGUAUUACACCACCACGUAUGCUGCCUCAGCCUGUUAGACCGAGGCUCCCAAGUACUACUCCGUUCCCAGCUACUUCACUGUGGCUCCAGCUUAUUACGCCACCACGCGGUCAUAACUACACCGAAGCGCCCAAGUACUACUCUGCCCCGAAUUACUACACAGCGGCUGCUCCUUCGUACUACGUUGGACCGAAAUACUACACUGAGGCUCCAGUUUACUACUCUACAACCUACUCUACAACCUACGCUGCACCUAGUUAAUACACCAAAGCCCCAAAGUACUACAUCGACGAGGCUGCAUUUUGCACUGCAACCCACGCUGCCCUCAGCUACCAUACCGAGGCUCCGCUCCCAAAUUGCUUCCAAGUACUACAUAACCAAGGCACCCGAGCUAUUAGUUAGGCUGCUUCGACCUACUGUACCGAAACUGCGAAGUAUUCCACUGCCCCGAGUUACUACACCACCAAGGCACCUGAAUGUUACAUCACAACCUUCGCUUCUCCAGUUUACUACAGGGAGGCUCUUAAAUACCGGAGCUGAAAUUUCUGAUUUAAUUAUUUGUGUAGUUCUGUCGGUCAAUUCUUAAUAGUUACUAGUAACUGGGAAUCGUUGAUUUUAAAUGAGAAAAUAAAUUAUUUAACG